rnacentral:rRNA from 1 species
GGUUAAGCGACUAAGCGUACACGGUGGAUGCCCUGGCAGUCAGAGGCGAUGAAGGACGUGCUAAUCUGCGAUAAGCGUCGGUAAGGUGAUAUGAACCGUUAUAACCGGCGAUUUCCGAAUGGGGAAACCCAGUGUGAUUCGUCACACUAUCAUUAACUGAAUCCAUAGGUUAAUGAGGCGAACCGGGGGAACUGAAACAUCUAAGUACCCCGAGGAAAAGAAAUCAACCGAGAUUCCCCCAGUAGCGGCGAGCGAACGGGGAGCAGCCCAGAGCCUGAAUCAGUGUGUGUGUUAGUGGAAGCGUCUGGAAAGGCGCGCGAUACAGGGUGACAGCCCCGUACACAAAAAUGCACAUGCUGUGAGCUCGAUGAGUAGGGCGGGACACGUGGUAUCCUGUCUGAAUAUGGGGGACCAUCCUCCAAGGCUAAAUACUCCUGACUGACCGAUAGUGAACCAGUACCGUGAGGGAAAGGCGAAAAGAACCCCGGCGAGGGGAGUGAAAAAGAACCUGAAACCGUGUACGUACAAGCAGUGGGAGCACGCUUAGGCGUGUGACUGCGUACCUUUUGUAUAAUGGGUCAGCGACUUAUAUUCUGUAGCAAGGUUAACCGAAUAGGGGAGCCGAAGGGAAACCGAGUCUUAACUGGGCGUUAAGUUGCAGGGUAUAGACCCGAAACCCGGUGAUCUAGCCAUGGGCAGGUUGAAGGUUGGGUAACACUAACUGGAGGACCGAACCGACUAAUGUUGAAAAAUUAGCGGAUGACUUGUGGCUGGGGGUGAAAGGCCAAUCAAACCGGGAGAUAGCUGGUUCUCCCCGAAAGCUAUUUAGGUAGCGCCUCGUGAAUUCAUCUCCGGGGGUAGAGCACUGUUUCGGCAAGGGGGUCAUCCCGACUUACCAACCCGAUGCAAACUGCGAAUACCGGAGAAUGUUAUCACGGGAGACACACGGCGGGUGCUAACGUCCGUCGUGAAGAGGGAAACAACCCAGACCGCCAGCUAAGGUCCCAAAGUCAUGGUUAAGUGGGAAACGAUGUGGGAAGGCCCAGACAGCCAGGAUGUUGGCUUAGAAGCAGCCAUCAUUUAAAGAAAGCGUAAUAGCUCACUGGUCGAGUCGGCCUGCGCGGAAGAUGUAACGGGGCUAAACCAUGCACCGAAGCUGCGGCAGCGACGCUUAUGCGUUGUUGGGUAGGGGAGCGUUCUGUAAGCCUGUGAAGGUGUGCUGUGAGGCAUGCUGGAGGUAUCAGAAGUGCGAAUGCUGACAUAAGUAACGAUAAAGCGGGUGAAAAGCCCGCUCGCCGGAAGACCAAGGGUUCCUGUCCAACGUUAAUCGGGGCAGGGUGAGUCGACCCCUAAGGCGAGGCCGAAAGGCGUAGUCGAUGGGAAACAGGUUAAUAUUCCUGUACUUGGUGUUACUGCGAAGGGGGGGACGGAGAAGGCUAUGUUGGCCGGGCGACGGUUGUCCCGGUUUAAGCGUGUAGGCUGGUUUUCCAGGCAAAUCCGGAAAAUCAAGGCUGAGGCGUGAUGACGAGGCACUACGGUGCUGAAGCAACAAAUGCCCUGCUUCCAGGAAAAGCCUCUAAGCAUCAGGUAACAUCAAAUCGUACCCCAAACCGACACAGGUGGUCAGGUAGAGAAUACCAAGGCGCUUGAGAGAACUCGGGUGAAGGAACUAGGCAAAAUGGUGCCGUAACUUCGGGAGAAGGCACGCUGAUAUGUAGGUGAAGUCCCUCGCGGAUGGAGCUGAAAUCAGUCGAAGAUACCAGCUGGCUGCAACUGUUUAUUAAAAACACAGCACUGUGCAAACACGAAAGUGGACGUAUACGGUGUGACGCCUGCCCGGUGCCGGAAGGUUAAUUGAUGGGGUCAGCGCAAGCGAAGCUCUUGAUCGAAGCCCCGGUAAACGGCGGCCGUAACUAUAACGGUCCUAAGGUAGCGAAAUUCCUUGUCGGGUAAGUUCCGACCUGCACGAAUGGCGUAAUGAUGGCCAGGCUGUCUCCACCCGAGACUCAGUGAAAUUGAACUCGCUGUGAAGAUGCAGUGUACCCGCGGCAAGACGGAAAGACCCCGUGAACCUUUACUAUAGCUUGACACUGAACAUUGAGCCUUGAUGUGUAGGAUAGGUGGGAGGCUUAGAAGUGUGGACGCCAGUCUGCAUGGAGCCGACCUUGAAAUACCACCCUUUAAUGUUUGAUGUUCUAACGUUGACCCGUAAUCCGGGUUGCGGACAGUGUCUGGUGGGUAGUUUGACUGGGGCGGUCUCCUCCUAAAGAGUAACGGAGGAGCACGAAGGUUGGCUAAUCCUGGUCGGACAUCAGGAGGUUAGUGCAAUGGCAUAAGCCAGCUUGACUGCGAGCGUGACGGCGCGAGCAGGUGCGAAAGCAGGUCAUAGUGAUCCGGUGGUUCUGAAUGGAAGGGCCAUCGCUCAACGGAUAAAAGGUACUCCGGGGAUAACAGGCUGAUACCGCCCAAGAGUUCAUAUCGACGGCGGUGUUUGGCACCUCGAUGUCGGCUCAUCACAUCCUGGGGCUGAAGUAGGUCCCAAGGGUAUGGCUGUUCGCCAUUUAAAGUGGUACGCGAGCUGGGUUUAGAACGUCGUGAGACAGUUCGGUCCCUAUCUGCCGUGGGCGCUGGAGAACUGAGGGGGGCUGCUCCUAGUACGAGAGGACCGGAGUGGACGCAUCACUGGUGUUCGGGUUGUCAUGCCAAUGGCACUGCCCGGUAGCUAAAUGCGGAAGAGAUAAGUGCUGAAAGCAUCUAAGCACGAAACUUGCCCCGAGAUGAGUUCUCCCUGACUCCUUGAGAGUCCUGAAGGAACGUUGAAGACGACGACGUUGAUAGGCCGGGUGUGUAAGCGCAGCGAUGCGUUGAGCUAACCGGUACUAAUGAACCGUGAGGCUUAACCUU